rnacentral:rRNA from 1 species
AGUGAACGCUGGCGGUAGGCCUAACACAUGCAAGUCGAACGGCAACACAGUAAGAGCUUGCUCUUACGGGUGGCGAGUGGCGGACGGGUGAGGAAUACAUCGGAAUCUACUUUUUCGUGGGUGAUAACGUAGGGAAACUUACGCUAAUACCGCAUACGACCUACGGGUUAAAGCAGUGGAUCUUCGGACCUUUCGCGAUUGAAUGAGCCGAUGUCGGAUUAGCUAGUUGGCGGGGUAAAGGCCCACCAAGGCGACGAUCCGUAGCUGGUCUGAGAGGAUGAUCAGCCACACUGGAACUGAGACACGGUCCAGACUCCUACGGGAGGCAGCAGUGGGGAAUAUUGGACAAUGGGCGAAAGCCUGAUCCAGCAAUACCGCGUGGGUGAAGAAGGCCUUCGGGUUGUAAAGCCCUUUUGUUGGGAAAGAAAAGCAGCAGGUUAAUACCUCGCUGUUCUGACGGUACCCAAAGAAUAAGCACCGGCUAACUUCGUG